rnacentral:lncRNA from 1 species
GGAUCUUCAAUACUUUACAUUCUCUGUGCGCACCUUAGGCUGUCGGAGGCAAUGUUGGAGAGAGAACUGUAGUUAGCGGAUCAAUGGAAGUAUUGAAGCCUUGCUGGGCAGUGGCAACCUCAGGCGUUCCCGUCCGAGAACAGCUCUUCAACGUCUCGAUCUGCCAUCACACCCCCUUCAACUUCAUGCACUACGGAGAGUUUUCACGAAACUUUGCUCAGGCAAGAGACACAUCCUCUUUGGAGAUUGCGACUCCCAUUCUCAUCCCCAGAGAUGACGGUCAUAAACACCGAAGAGGAAGUCACGGAGAUGUAAUCUUCUUGACAAAUCGUGGAGAGGUACUUUUUCUGAUGAUCCAAUCUCUUUUAACUUUGAAUCUCGUUCAAUAGCUCAUAGCGUUCCCUACCAGGUGACAUCAUACACGCCUGAUAUGCACGGCCGCGAGCCGCUCUGGCAGUGGCAGCUUCAGACAGAAGCCACAUGGUCGAAUCUCCCAUCUCCAUCUGGUUUAACCGAGUCAGGGACAGUGGUCCCAACCCUGAAACCAUUCUCGUUGCGCAUUCAUGAUAACCAGCCUAUGAUCCUCGCCGGAGGAGAUCAAGCGGCAGUCAUCAUAUCUCCAGGAGGAAGCGUAUUGGCUUCCAUCGAGUUACCGUCACUGCCGACUCAUGCUCUCAUCACUGAUGACUUCUCUAACGACGGAUUAACGGAUGUAAUUGUGAUGACAUCAAAUGGGAUAUACGGGUUCGUUCAGACCAGACAGCCAGGUGCUCUGUUCUUCAGUUCGUUGGUGGGGUGUAUCUUGGUAGUAAUGGCAGUUAUUUUCGUAACUCAGCACUUAAACUCCGUUAAAGGUAAGCCUCGACCUUCCUCUAGCUUUAUUUAAAUAUAUAAAGCCUCAGGGGGUUUUCUUCUUCUCUACGGAAGUUGAACCGGUCCUAUUAGCGGCGGCGCUUUACCCACACCGGUUUUGGUAUACCGAAGUAGAUUCAGCGUUUCAGCUUUGUAAUUUUAUUAUAAACUUUUACAGAAUUCUAUAAGUGAAAAUGGUAGAGGCGAAUGUUAGGACUUUUUUUGCUUCUCUCAGUUUUAAUGUUUAAGUUGCAAGUGUUGCUGUGACAUUUAUUUAAUCAAAAGAGAUUUUUCUAACACUGGUCAAAUCGUUAUAUAUCCUUAUAUAAUCUGGAUUUCUGGAGACUAGAUACAUCUCAAACUGAAAAGAAUGUUUCUGAAAUUUGCAAUUGAAUCAGCACAUUACAAUACAUUUAUCAAGCAUUUUCGAAUUUCAAUUUAAAAAAAUAAAUUUAUAAUUUUUUUUUUUAAUUUUGGAAAUAUUCCGAGGAAGUUUAUCCCUCAGAAUAUUCCGACGACAUCUUUCUCGGAAUAUUCCGAGGAAUUUCCGACGAACUUGUGGUCCUCGGAAAUUCCGAGGAAAUAGGGUUUCCUCGGAAUUCCGUCGGAAAUUUCCGAGGGAUUUCCGAGGAAAAAUGAAUUUCCGAGAAGUUAUUUACGAGGAUUUUUUUCGUCGGUAUGUCGUCGGAAUAGCGUUAUUCCGAGGACAUACCGACGAUUUUUUCUCUCAGUAUGCCGCUGUUUUAUUGUAGUGUGAUGUCUACAAAGGAAUGAUAGUUGGAACUUGCUGGUGAGUUUCAUACUUUACCGUGGCGUGCACCAUCUCUUGUUGUUGGCCACAAAGGAAUGCGAGUGUUAGUGUGUUACGACGACGUUAGGAACAACGAUAAUGGCUACUCAACUGUUUGGCUCCUUGGUUUAAAUUAAUACUUCUCGAAGGAUUAAAGAAAGACGACAUAACGUUCGGUCCUUAUUAUCUAAACGGCAAGCUUUUUUAGUUAUGACAUAUGAAACGUCUAAUACGGCAUCAUUUUCACCGAAUACUGACCCAAGGUCGCCUGGUUCUCGACGAUUCAUCGCUCCCUCACCUCUCUCUCGCACCUACCGAUGCAAAUCUGCCAUUGAUUGAUUACAUCUGCUCCGACGUCAAAACGAAGAUGAGGAAACGCGAUUUGGCAAUUUUGAUGCUCUCUGGAUUUGCAAUCUUCUUCACUCUUCAGGUGAUUUCCCCUCACUAAUCACAGUAUAUAAGCUUCUAGAACCAUUCAUCGAUCUGUUGCUAGAGCUUAGAAAUCGAGUGCGAACUCGUUCUAUGAGUGUAGAGUUUCUCAGAUGGAAUCUUAUUGAUCCGUAUGUAUUUCAAUUGCGCGUUAUUGAUUGUUGAUUUUGCUCAGCACGAGGGCGAUUUUGCGUUCAAGGAAGCAUGGUUCCAUCUGUACGAUGAUUACCCAGUCAAACACGAAUCCGAUCGUCUCCCUCCUCCUCUUGUAGCUGACCUCAACGGCGAUGGCAAGAAGGAGGUCCUCGUCGCUACAAACGAUGCCAAAAUUCAGGUAAAACGGAAUGAUUCGCAGCUUAAUGCUUAUGGCUUAGCUAUUACGCGGUGUUGGAUCAAGUGCUAACCUGUGUUAUGGAUGGUGGAUUAGGUCCUGGAGCCUCACUCCAGGCGUGUGGAUGAAGGCUUCAGUGAAGCACGUGUUCUUGCUGAUAUCUCCCUUUUGCCUGACAAGAUCCGUGUCGCCUCCGGGAGACGCGCUGUGGCCAUGGCCACUGGUGUUAUCGAUAGGUACUAUAAAGAUGGGACACCGCAGAAGCAGGUUUUGGUCGUUGUUACCUCUGGUUGGUCUGUGCUCUGCUUUGAUCACAACCUCAAAAAGCUCUGGGAAACGAAUCUCCAGGUUUAUUUUUUUUUUACAUCCUCGUUGUCCUUUGUUCUGUAUGUUAUUGUCUUCUUCUUACUGAUAUUGAUUGGAAUAUCAGGAGGAUUUUCCACAUAAUGCACACCAUAGAGAGAUAUCAAUUUCGAUUAGCAAUUAUACGUUGAAGCACGGUGAUACUGGUUUGGUUAUUGUUGGUGGAAGGAUGGAGAUGCAGCCUUAUGUAUGUACAAGGCAACAUUUUCCACUUGGUUUUGGAUUGUGUUAAUUAAUAAUGGAUUUUUCUUGUCGUCUUAGAAUCAUAUGGACCCAUUUGAGGAACUUGGCAUUACAGAACAAAAUGCUGAGAAACACAGGAGAAGUGCUACUGAGAAACAGGUACGAAAAGAUGUGGAGUUAUUAUAUCUGGUAGUAAUAAAGAUGUUCUUGUGGCACAUUUUGUCUAGGAGAUGUGUUUGGAAUAACUUUAAGCUUCUUUUCAGCCCACUGAAGAUACGGGAGGUGUAAACUUGCGUCACUUUUCGGUUUAUGCAUUCGCUGGCCGGACUGGUGUUCUUCGUUGGAGUAAAAAGACUGAUGUCAGUUAUUUCUCCUUUAUGCCCACUUCUUUCUUUACAUAUAGCUUACCUGUAUUCUUAACUGCAUCAGAUUUGCUGGUCGAAUUGAUAGAAUAUUGUUUUGCUUCGCUUCUAGGAUGUUGAAGCUCACACCUCAGAUGCGUCACAGCUAGUUCCCCAACACAAUUACAAGCUCGACGUGCAUUCUAUAAAUAGCCGUCACCCUGGAGAGGUAAAGUUAACUCGUUCUUCAUUGAUCAUUGAGCGAUGUGUAGCCUGUUCUAGUUGCCUUUUAGGAGAUUUAUAAUUGCUUUGGAAACUGAGAUGUGCUGGACUGAAGUUUGAAUGCAGGGAAUUUAGAGAAUCAAUUCUUAGUGUUAUGCCUCAUCACUGGGUAAGUCUUAUGCUUCCUACUACAUGCUUCGGCUCCUUAGUCUAAUAUGCUUUAAAAUAUUCUGUUCUUAAGGACGUUGUUGUCUUUGUAUCCAGGACCGACGGGAAGAUACAUUAUUAAAGCUUGCUCAUUUCAGGCGACACAAGAGGAAGACAUUGAAGAAGCAAGCUGGUAAGUCUACAACUUUUCCGUUUCAAAAACCUGAGGAACACACACCAGCUGGGAAAGACUUGUCGAGAAAGAUUCCGAAAUUGAUUGGGAAGGCUGCACGUUAUGCUGGCUCGGCAAAACCCAAGAAGGUGAAAGCUCUUACUAAACGUGAAGUACCCACAUAAAAACACUCAUAUUGUGUAUAGGACAGCUAAGCACAUGUUGUUGCAGGGCAUGCAAUACAUACCGACUAUAACUAACUACACUAAGCUUUGGUGGGUUCCUAAUGUUGUUGUGGCUCACCAAAAAGAAGGAAUUGAAGCUAUUCAUUUGCCUACUGGUCGAACUCUUUGCAAGGUAGCUGUUCCUUCAAAUCAUGAACAAAAGCUUUACAAUAUCACGAACCCGUUUUUAAUAUGUUAGCUUCCUUAAACUCAGCUUCAUCUGCUGGAAGGUGGGCUUCACGCCGACAUAAACGGAGAUGGUGUACUCGAUCAUGUCCAGGUACACAUUAGACACAUCUCCCGCUUUCCCUUCAUUGUCUUUACAAUGGAUCUUCAAUACUUUACAUUCUCUGUGCGCACCUUAGGCUGUCGGAGGCAAUGUUGGAGAGAGAACUGUAGUUAGCGGAUCAAUGGAAGUAUUGAAGCCUUGCUGGGCAGUGGCAACCUCAGGCGUUCCCGUCCGAGAACAGCUCUUCAACGUCUCGAUCUGCCAUCACACCCCCUUCAACUUCAUGCACUACGGAGAGUUUUCACGAAACUUUGCUCAGGCAAGAGACACAUCCUCUUUGGAGAUUGCGACUCCCAUUCUCAUCC